UACAGAGGUCUCAAGCGUUGUUCGGAUUCAUUGGGCGUAAAGGGUGCGUAGGUGGCGCUGUAAGUCGGGUGUGAAAUUUCGGAGCUUAACUCCGAAACUGCAUUCGAUACUGCGUGCUUGAGGACUGGAGAGGAGACUGGAAUUUACGGUGUAGCAGUGAAAUGCGUAGAGAUCGUAAGGAAGACCAGUGGCGAAGGCGGGUCUCUGGACAGUUCCUGACGCUGAGGCACGAAGGUCAGGGGAGCAAACGGG
rnacentral:rRNA from 1 species